rnacentral:rRNA from 1 species
UGUUGUGGUCAUCUUUCUGGUCAGGCUUGUCUCUGAUCAAGACUUGAGCAGCGCUGGGCCUGGUCAGUACCUGAAUGGGAGACUGCCUGAGAAUGCCAGGUGCUGGAGGUU